AGAGUUUGAUUAUGGCUCAGGAUGAACGCUAGCGGCAGGCUUAACACAUGCAAGUCGAGGGGCAGCGGGGAGGAAGCUUGCUUUCUCCGCCGGCGACCGGCGCACGGGUGAGUAACACGUAUGCAACCUGCCCCUGUCAGGGGGACAACCCGCCGAAAGGCGGGCUAAACCCGCGUACAUGCCACCGGGGCAUCCCGGAGGCAGGAAAGGCUUCGGCCGGACAGGGAUGGGCAUGCGGCGCAUUAGGCAGUAGGCGGGGUAACGGCCCACCUAACCGACGAUGCGUAGGGGUUCUGAGAGGAAGGUCCCCCACACUGGUACUGAGACACGGACCAGACUCCUACGGGAGGCAGCAGUGAGGAAUAUUGGUCAAUGGUCGGGAGACUGAACCAGCCAAGCCGCGUGAGGGAGGAAGGUACAGAGUAUCGUAAACCUCUUUUGUCAGGGAACAAAGGCGGGGACGUGUCCCCGGAUGAGUGUACCUGAAGAAAAAGCAUCGGCUAACUCCGUGCCAGCAGCCGCGGUAAUACGGAGGAUGCGAGCGUUAUCCGGAUUUAUUGGGUUUAAAGGGUGCGC
rnacentral:rRNA from 1 species